rnacentral:rRNA from 1 species
UACGUAGGGGGCAAGCGUUGUCCGGAUUUAUUGGGCGUAAAGAGCGUGUAGGCGGUCAGGUAGGUCUGGUGUGAAAACUCGAGGCUCAACCUCGAGACGUCGAUGGAAACCAUCUGGCUAGAGUCCGGAAGAGGAGAGUGGAAUUCCUGGUGUAGCGGUGAAAUGCGCAGAUAUCAGGAAGAACACCUAUGGCGAAGGCAGCUCUCUGGGACGGUACUGACGCUGAGACGCGAAAGCGUGGGGAGCAAACAGG